CAGUCGCCGCGGGAAUACAGAGGGUGCGAGCGUUAAUCGGAUUUACUGGGCGUAAAGCGUGCGUAGGCGGCUUCUUAAGUCGGAUGUGAAAUCCCUGAGCUUAACUUAGGAAUUGCAUUCGAUACUGGGAAGCUAGAGUAUGGGAGAGGAUGGUAGAAUUCCAGGUGUAGCGGUGAAAUGCGUAGAGAUCUGGAGGAAUACCGAUGGCGAAGGCAGCCAUCUGGCCUAAUACUGACGCUGAGGUACGAAAGCAUGGGGAGCAAACAGGAUUAGAUACCCCUGUAGUCCCUGUCUCUUAUAC
rnacentral:rRNA from 1 species